rnacentral:pre_miRNA from 11 species
GAACUGACUUCUCCCUGGGUUGGGAUUUGUUGCAUUACUUGUGGGUUCCCUGAACAGUAUUGCACUUGUCCCGGCCUGUGGAGGA